rnacentral:lncRNA from 13 species
AUGGGGCCCGGUAACGUUCUGGUAACACCCGGAGUGCCCGCUUCCAGGCCUGAAGCGCUCUCCUCCCCCACCCGACCGGAACCGAAGAGUGGGCUCAAGGAAGUACUCAGGUCAGGUCUGUCAGGGUCCUAUGCUGCUCGUGGCACGCAGCCUCCUUCCAGGCGCCGCCCCUGCCACCGACUCCACCUUGUACCUGUGCGGCAGCAGCUGGACAGCGCCAACAUCGGCGCUCCCCAGCUGGGCAGACGAAAGCGCAUGCGCAAGCGGCCUGUCACAAGCGCCAGCGCUGAGCCCGGGCUCGCGUCACAGGAACAGCCACCGUUGCCUGGGGAACGAUCACAGUGGCUUCCCAAAGCGGCGGUCCUCUGUGGCAGUGCCUCAGCAUCAGGCAACGGACUCUUUCUCCGCGCGAUCCUCACUGAGUCCUGCGAUUUUAGGAAUCCGGCAGGCCGAACCAGGCAGAAGAAAGAUCUGUCGGGGCUUCACGGAUGUCCACGGCGCUCCCCAGGAAUCACCGAGAUGCUGCAGACCUGCCCAAACAGUGUGAGGGUGCCUCUAGUUGAAAGCCCUCUCGGCUGGGAUUUCCAGGCCGCAGAUAACAAGCUCCUGGAGCUAUCCUGGGAUGUGGAGGAGACAGAGAAAGGACCCUGAUUAGGAGUGGACAAGGUCACUCUGCAACCAUCUUCAUCACACUUACAGCAGCCAAGCUAGCACCAUCAGCAAAUGCUGAUCCCAUCCUAGAGCAGUCAGGGGGCCUGCCGUCCUGCUCCACGCCAAGGCAUCCCCCAGGCUGCCUGACUGACAGGGGGAAAGUGAGACUCCUGUGGGUGGGCAUCUUCUCAUGAGUUUCACUUGGUUUUGGGGCAUUAACUAACCUUUUGAAAUCAUCUGCUGACUUUCGUUUGAUUGCGAUAAUAUUCACAUAAAAUAAAACUCACCAUUUUAACCA